CCUACGGGAGGCAGCAGUGAGGAAUAUUGCUCAAUGGGCGAAAGCCUGACGCAGCGACGCCGCGUGAGGGAUGAAGGUCUACAGAACCGAAACCUCUGUCAGCAGGGAAGCACGGUCACUGUGCUAAUCAGCAGUGAAUUGACGGUACCUACAAAGAAAGCACCGGCUAACUCCGUGCCAGCCGCCACGGUAAUACGGAGGGUGCGAGCGUUGAUCGGAAUUACUGGGCGUAAAGCGCUCGUAGGCGGUAUGUCAAGUCAAGGGUGAAAUCCCCGCGCUCAACGUGGGAACUGCCUUUGAAACUGGCAAACUGGAGUGUGUGAGAGGAUAGUGGAAUGCCAGGUGUAGGAGUGAAAUCCGUAGAUAUCUGGAGGAACAUCAGUGGCGAAGGCGACUAUCUGGCACAUCACUGACGCUGAGGAGCGAAAGCGUGGGUAGCAAACAGGAUUAGAUACCCGGGUAGUC
rnacentral:rRNA from 1 species